rnacentral:rRNA from 1 species
AGAGUUUGAUCAUGGCUCAGAUUGAACGCUGGCGGCAGGCCUAACACAUGCAAGUCGAACGGUAGCACAGAGGAGCUUGCUCCUUGGGUGACGAGUGGCGGACGGGUGAGUAACACGUGGGCAACCUGCCCAACAGAGGGGGAUAACACAUGGAAACAGGUGCUAAUACCGCAUAACGUCGCAAGACCAAAGAGGGGGACCUUCGGGCCUCUUGCCAUCGGAUGUGCCCAGAUGGGAUUAGCUAGUAGGUGGGGUAACGGCUCACCUAGGCGACGAUCCCUAGCUGGUCUGAGAGGAUGAUCAGCCACACUGGAACUGAGACACGGUCCAGACUCCUACGGGAGGCAGCAGUGGGGAAUAUUGCACAAUGGGGGAAACCCUGAUGCAGCCAUGCCGCGUGUGUGAAGAAGGCCUUCGGGUUGUAAAGCACUUUCAGCGAGGAGGAAGGCAUUAAGGUUAAUAACCUUAGUGAUUGACGUUACUCGCAGAAGAAGCACCGGCUAACUCCGUGCCAGCCGCCGCGGUAAUAC